GCCGGGAUGGCAGAGUGGAUAAUGCGCAGGCCUUGAGAGCCUGUGGCCUUCUUGGCCGCAUGGGUUCGAAUCCCAUUCCCGGCG
rnacentral:tRNA from 1 species